rnacentral:rRNA from 1 species
UGGGGAAUAUUGCACAAUGGGCGCAAGCCUGAUGCAGCCAUGCCGCGUGUGUGAAGAAGGCCUUCGGGUUGUAAAGCACUUUCAGCGAGGAGGAAGGUGGUGAACUUAAUACGUUCAUCAAUUGACGUUACUCGCAGAAGAAGCACCGGCUAACUCCGUGCCAGCAGCCGCGGUAAUACGGAGGGUGCAAGCGUUAAUCGGAAUUACUGGGCGUAAAGCGCACGCAGGCGGUUUGUUAAGUCAGAUGUGAAAUCCCCGGGCUCAACCUGGGAACUGCAUUUGAAACUGGCAAGCUAGAGUCUCGUAGAGGGGGUAGAAUUCCAGGUGUAGCGGUGAAAUGCGUAGAGAUCUGGAGGAAUACCGGUGGCGAAGGCGGCCCCCUGGACGAAGACUGACGCUCAGGUGCGAAAGCGUGGGGAGCAAACAGAUUAGAUACCCUGGUAGUCACGCUGUAAACGAAUGUCGAUUUUGGAGGUUGUGCCCCUUGAGGCGUGGNUUCCGGAGCUAACGNGUUAAAUCGACCG